rnacentral:lncRNA from 1 species
AUGCUUUUUUUUUUUUUUUUUCUUUCCCCAGUGAACUCAUCCCUUCCCCAAAUCGUGCUGAUGACCUCAUCAUCUGCAGCUGUGUGCUCUGAGCUCACCCACCCUUCAACUCCCAGGGGAUCACAUCUGGCGGGGGAGCCCUGGUACCUGGGGCGGGCACAUCUGGAGAUUCAUCCGAGGGAGAGAAAAAGAGAGAGAGAUGGUGUGGAGAGGAGAGGGAGAAGGAGAGAAAAAUCCAAGUAGACUCCUUGCUGAGCACUGAGCCCCACAAAGAGCUGGACCCCAAAACCUUGAGAUCAUGACUGACCUGAAAUCAAGAGUCAAAUGCUCAACUGACUGUACCACCCAGGCACCUUGAAAUUGACUGAUUUUUAAAUGAAGGCAACAAACUCACAUUAAACAAAAAUCAGCUACAUGUGUUGGGCAAACAAAAUAUCUAGCCUAAAAAAAAAAAAAAAAUCUAGCCUGCUGGGCAUCUUUCUGAAACCUACUCAUUAGACAAUGAAAGCAUACUCAUGGGGAGCCAUCCACCAGCCUGGGACACAUAUUGUCAAAUAGUUUUUCCAUAAGUAAACAAAUCUACAUUUCCAUUAACUAUUCAUUAACUGUUCUCCACUUCCCAUACUCUCACCAGGACAGUUUGCUCAAGUUUUUACGUAUCACUGAUCUUAAAGAUGAAUGUUCAUACCAAAUUGUAUCAACUUGCAUUUGUUUAAUUAAUGUUAUCAAACAGAUCUCAUAUGUUUAUUGACCUUUGGUAUUUUUUACUUUUAUGAAUUGCCUGUUCCUAUUUUUUGCCCAUUUAAGAAUUGUGUCUUGGACUUUUUCUUAUGGUUUUAUAUAAACUUUUUAUUUUUGUGUACUAUGGAUAUUAACUGUUUCUCUCAUAUGAAUUACACUGUAAAAAUUUGUCAUUUGUCUUUUAACCUUAUAUAAUAGGGUAACAUUUUUAUUAUUUUAACAAUUGUCAUCAGAGUAUUUUGAGUGGGAAAUUAAUUUUGCUUAGAAUAGCUUAAGGAAUCACUUAGAUUAUGGACAGUGAGUGUAGUUGGUACAAAAACAGUGAAACAAAGGGACAGCCAAACUCAGUGGAGAGCUGGCAAAUGUUUAACAAAAGACAGAAUAAAAAGAGAGAAAAGUGGGAAAAGACUUUUGCA